rnacentral:rRNA from 1 species
GUACGGAGGGUGCAAGCGUUACUCGGAAUCACUGGGCGUAAAGGACGCGUAGGCGGGUUGGUAAGUCAGGUGUGAAAUCCUACAGCUUAACUGUAGAACUGCACUUGAAACUACCAACCUAGAGUAUGGGAGGGGGAGAUGGAAUUAGUGGUGUAGGGGUAAAAUCCGUAGAUAUCACUAGGAAUACCGAAAGCGAAGGCGAUCUCCUGGAACAUAACUGACGCUAAGGCGUGAAAGCGUGGGGAGCAAACAGGAUUAGAAACCCCAGUAGUCC